AUUGAACGCUGGCGGCAUGCUUUACACAUGCAAGUCGAACGGUAACAGGCCGCAAGGUGCUGACGAGUGGCGAACGGGUGAGUAAUGCAUCGGAACGUGCCCCGUCGUGGGGGAUAACUACUCGGAAGAGUAGCUAAUACCGCAUACGAUCUAUGGAUGAAAGCGGGGGACCUUAAGGCCUCGCGCGAUUUGAGCGGCCGAUGUCGGAUUAGGUAGUUGGUGGGGUAAAGGCUCACCAAGCCAACGAUCUGUAGCUGGUCUGAGAGGACGACCAGCCACACUGGGACUGAGACACGGCCCAGACUCCUACGGGAGGCAGCAGUGGGGAAUUUUGGACAAUGGGCGCAAGCCUGAUCCAGCAAUGCCGCGUGCAGGAAGAAGGCCUUCGGGUUGUAAACUGCUUUUGUACGGAACGAAACGGCUCUGGUUAAUACCCGGGGCUAAUGACGGUACCGUAAGAAUAAGCACCGGCUAACUACGUG
rnacentral:rRNA from 1 species